AUCCAGCUGACAAGUCCCGAAUAGGACGAAAUGCGCAUCCUGGAU
rfam:Trichobilharzia regenti genome assembly, scaffold: TRE_scaffold0049910